GACGAACGCUGGCGGCGUGCCUAAUACAUGCCAGUUGAGCGCUGAAGGUUGGUACUUGUACCGACUGGAUGAGCAGCGAACGGGUGAGUAACGCGUGGGGAAUCUGCCUUUGAGCGGGGGACAACAUUUGGAAACGAAUGCUAAUACCGCAUAAAAACUUUAAACACAAGUUUUAAGUUUGAAAGAUGCAAUUGCAUCACUCAAAGAUGAUCCCGCGUUGUAUUAGCUAGUUGGUGAGGUAAAGGCUCACCAAGGCGAUGAUACAUAGCCGACCUGAGAGGGUGAUCGGCCAAAUUGGGACGGAGACACGGCCCAAACUCCUACGGGAGGCAGCAGUAGGGAAUCUUCGGCAAUGGACGAAAGUCUGACCGAGCAACGCCGCGUGAGUGAAGAAGGUUUUCGGAUCGUAAAACUCUGUUGGUAGAGAAGAACGUUGGUGAGAGUGGAAAGCUCAUCAAGUGACGGUAACUACCCAGAAAGGGACGGCUAACUACGUG
rnacentral:rRNA from 1 species